GACGAACGCUGGCGGCGUGCUUAACACAUGCAAGUCGAACGGCAAGGCCCUGCGUUUGUGGGGUGCUCGAGUGGCGAACGGGUGAGUAACACGUGAGUAACCUGCCCUUGACUUUGGGAUAACUUCAGGAAACUGGGGCUAAUACCGGAUAGGAGCUCCUGCUGCAUGGUGGGGGUUGGAAAGUUUCGGCGGUUGGGGAUGGACUCGCGGCUUAUCAGCUUGUUGGUGGGGUAGUGGCUUACCAAGGCUUUGACGGGUAGGCGGCCUGAGAGGGUGAACGGGCUCAUUGGGACUGAGAGACGGACCAGACUGCUACGGGAGGCAGCAGUGGGAAAUAUUGCACAAUGGGCGGAAGUCUGAGGCAGCAACGCCGGGUGCGGGAUGACGGCCUUCGGGUUGUAAACCGCUUUCGCCUGUGACGAAGCGUGAGUGACGGUAAUGGGUAAAGAAGCACCGGCUAACUACGUG
rnacentral:rRNA from 1 species